rnacentral:rRNA from 1 species
CCUACGGGAGGCUGCAGUCGAGAAUCAUUCACAAUGGGGGAAACCCUGAUGGUGCGACGCCGCGUGGGGGAAUGAAGGUCUUCGGAUUGUAAACCCCUGUCAUGUGGGAGCAAAUUAAAAAGAUAGUACCACAAGAGGAAGAGACGGCUAACUCUGUGCCAGCAGCCGCGGUAAUACAGAGGUCUCAAGCGUUGUGCGGAAUUACGGGGCGUAAAGCGUGCGGAGGCUGUUUCGUAAGUCGGGUGUGAAAGGCCCGGGCUCAACCCGCGGACGGCACAUGAUACUGCGAGACUAGAGUAAUGGAGGGGGAACCGGAAUUCUCGGUGUAGCAGUGAAAUGCGUAGAUAUCGAGAGGAACACUCGUGGCGAAGGCGGGUUCCUGGACAUUAACUGACGCUGAGGCACGAAGGCCAGGGGAGCGAAAGGGAUUAGAUACCCCAGUAGUC